rnacentral:rRNA from 1 species
GGUUAAGCGACUAAGCGUACACGGUGGAUGCCUAGGCAAUCAGAGGCGAUGAAGGACGUGCUAAUCUGCGAAAAGCGUCGGUAAGGUGAUAUGAACCGUUAUAACCGACGAUGUCCGAAUGGGGAAACCCAGUGCAAUUCGUUGCACUAUCGUUUGAUGAAUACAUAGUCAAACGAGGCGAACCGAGGGAACUGAAACAUCUCAGUACCUCGAGGAAAAGAAAUCAACCGAGAUUCCCCUAGUAGCGGCGAGCGAACGGGGAGCAGCCCAGAGUCUUAAUCAGCAUUAGCAUCAGGAGAACGGUCUGGAAAGGCCGGCAGUAAAGGGUGAUAGCCCCGUAUCCGAAGGUGUUAGUGUUGUGAACUCGACGAGUAGGGCGGGACACGUGUUAUCCUGUCUGAAUAUGGGGGGACCAUCCUCCAAGGCUAAAUACUCCUGAUUGACCGAUAGUGAACCAGUACCGUGAGGGAAAGGCGAAAAGAACCCCGGCGAGGGGAGUGAAAUAGAACCUGAAACCGUGUACGUACAAGCAGUGGGAGCCUUGAUUUAUCAGGGUGACUGCGUACCUUUUGUAUAAUGGGUCAGCGACUUAUAUUCUGUAGCAAGGUUAACCGUAUAGGGGAGCCGUAGGGAAACCGAGUCUUAACUGGGCGAAUGAGUUGCAGGGUAUAGACCCGAAACCCGGUGAUCUAGCCAUGGGCAGGUUGAAGGUUGGGUAACACUAACUGGAGGACCGAACCGACUAAUGUUGAAAAAUUAGCGGAUGACUUGUGGCUGGGGGUGAAAGGCCAAUCAAACCGGGAGAUAGCUGGUUCUCCCCGAAAGCUAUUUAGGUAGCGCCUCGUGAACUCAUCUUCGGGGGUAGAGCACUGUUUCGACUAGGGGGUCAUCCCGACUUACCAACUCGAUGCAAACUACGAAUACCGAAGAAUGUUAUCACGGGAGACACACGGCGGGUGCUAACGUUCGUCGUGAAGAGGGAAACAACCCAGACCGCCAGCUAAGGUCCCAAAGUCAUAGUUAAGUGGGAAACGAAGUGGGAAGGCUCAGACAGCCAGGAUGUUGGCUUAGAAGCAGCCAUCAUUUAAAGAAAGCGUAAUAGCUCACUGGUCGAGUCGGCCUGCGCGGAAGAUGUAACGGGGCUAAACUAUGCACCGAAGCUGCGGCAGCGAUAUGUAAAUAUUGUUGGGUAGGGGAGCGUUCUGUAAGCCUGUGAAGGUGUGCUGUGAGGCAUGCUGGAGGUAUCAGAAGUGCGAAUGCUGACAUAAGUAACGAUAAUGCGGGUGAAAAACCCGCACGCCGGAAGACCAAGGGUUCCUGUCCAACGUUAAUCGGGGCAGGGUGAGUCGACCCCUAAGGCGAGGCAGAAAUGCGUAGUCGAUGGGAAACGGGUUAAUAUUCCCGUACUGGUGAUAAUUGCGAUGGGGGGACGGAGAAGGUUAGGCUGGCCGGGCGACGGUUGUCCCGGUUUAAGGAUGUAGGCAGGUGAAUUAGGCAAAUCCGGUUCACUAUAUGCUGAGGUCUGAUGACGAGUCACUACGGUGGCGAAGUAGCUCAUACCCCGCUUCCAGGAAAAGCCUCUAAGCUCUAGAUUAUCAUUAAUCGUACCCCAAACCGACACAGGUGGUCAGGUAGAGAAUACUCAGGCGCUUGAGAGAACUCGGGUGAAGGAACUAGGCAAAAUGGUGCCGUAACUUCGGGAGAAGGCACGCUGGCAUUAGGUGAAGUGGUUUACCCAUGGAGCUGAAGCCAGUCGCAGAUACCAGCUGGCUGCAACUGUUUAUUAAAAACACAGCACUGUGCAAACACGAAAGUGGACGUAUACGGUGUGACGCCUGCCCGGUGCUGGAAGGUUAAUUGAUGGGGUUAUCCGUAAGGAGAAGCUCUUGAUCGAAGCCCCAGUAAACGGCGGCCGUAACUAUAACGGUCCUAAGGUAGCGAAAUUCCUUGUCGGGUAAGUUCCGACCUGCACGAAUGGCGUAAUGAUGGCCAGGCUGUCUCCACCCGAGACUCAGUGAAAUUGAACUCGCUGUGAAGAUGCAGUGUACCCGCGGCAAGACGGAAAGACCCCGUGAACCUUUACUAUAGCUUGACACUGAACAUUGAGCCUUGAUGUGUAGGAUAGGUGGGAGGCUUCGAAGCGUGGACGCCAGUCUGCGUGGAGCCAACCUUGAAAUACCACCCUUUAAUGUUUGAUGUUCUAACGUUGCCCCGUUAUCCGGGGUGCGGACAGUGUCUGGUGGGUAGUUUGACUGGGGCGGUCUCCUCCCAAAGAGUAACGGAGGAGCACGAAGGUUGGCUAAGCAUGGUCGGACAUCAUGCGGUUAGUGCAAAGGCAUAAGCCAGCUUGACUGCGAGAGUGACGGCUCGAGCAGGUACGAAAGUAGGUCUUAGUGAUCCGGUGGUUCUGAAUGGAAGGGCCAUCGCUCAACGGAUAAAAGGUACUCCGGGGAUAACAGGCUGAUACCGCCCAAGAGUUCAUAUCGACGGCGGUGUUUGGCACCUCGAUGUCGGCUCAUCACAUCCUGGGGCUGAAGUAGGUCCCAAGGGUACGGCUGUUCGCCGUUUAAAGUGGUACGCGAGCUGGGUUUAGAACGUCGUGAGACAGUUCGGUCCCUAUCUGCCGUGGGCGUUGGAAGAUUGAAAGGGGCUGCUCCUAGUACGAGAGGACCGGAGUGGACGCACCACUGGUGUUCGGGUUGUCAUGCCAAUGGCAUUGCCCGGUAGCUAAGUGCGGAAAAGAUAACCGCUGAAAGCAUCUAAGCGGGAAACUUGCCUUGAGAUGAGUCUUCCCUGACCCUUUAAGGGUCCUAAAGGAACGUUUAAGACUAAGACGUUGAUAGGUUGGGUGUGUAAGCGUAGCGAUACGUUGAGCUAACCAAUACUAAUGAACCGUGAGGCUUAACCUG